rnacentral:rRNA from 1 species
AGAAUCAACGCUGGCGGCGUGCCUAACACAUGCAAGUCGCACGAGAAAGGGUAGCAAUACCUGAGUAAAGUGGCGCACGGGUGAGUAACACGUGACUAAUCUACCCUCGAGUGGGGAAUAACUGAGAGAAAUCUCAGCUAAUACCGCAUAACACUUACGAGUCAAAGCAGCAAUGCGCUUGGAGAGGAGUUCGCGGCAGAUUAGUUAGUUGGCGGGGUAAUGGCCCACCAAGACUGUGAUCGGUA